UACGUAGGGGGCAAGCGUUGUCCGGAAUUAUUGGGCGUAAAGAGCUCGUAGGCGGUCUGUCACGUCGGCUGUGAAAACCCGAGGCUCAACCUCGGGCCUGCAGUCGAUACGGGCAAGCUAGAGUACUGCAGGGGAGACUGGAAUUCCUGGUGUAGCGGUGAAAUGCGCAGAUAUCAGGAGGAACACCGGUGGCGAAGGCGGGUCUCUGGGCAGUAACUGACGCUGAGGAGCGAAAGCGUGGGGAGCGAACAGG
rnacentral:rRNA from 1 species